UACGAAGGGGGCUAGCGUUGCAUCGGAAUCACUGGGCGUAAAGGGUGCGUAGGCGGGUCUUUAAGUCAGGGGUGAAAUCCUGGAGCUCAACUCCAGAACUGCCUUUGAUACUGAAGAUCUUGAGUUCGGGAGAGGUGAGUGGAACUGCGAGUGUAGAGGUGAAAAUUCGUAGAUAUUCGCAAGAACACCAGUGGCGAAGGCGGCUCACUGGCCCGAUACUGACGCUGAGGCACGAAAGCGUGGGGAGCAAACGGGA
rnacentral:rRNA from 1 species